GCAGGGUGCAAGCGUUAUCCGGAAUCAUUGGGCGUAAAGAGCUCGUAGGCGGUUCAGCAAGUUGGCUGUGAAAUUCCGAGGCUCAACCUCGGAACUGCAGUCGAUACUGCUGUGACUCGAGUCCGGUAGAGGAGAAUGGAAUUCCCGGUGUAGCGGUGAAAUGUGCAGAUAUCGGGAGGAACACCAGUAGCGAAGGCGGUUCUCUGGGCCGGCACUGACGCUGAGGAGCGAAAGCGUGGGUAGCAAACAGGAUUAGAUACCCUGGUAGUCCACGCCCGUAAACGUUGGAUACUAGGUGUGGGGUUCCGAUCAACGGUCCCGUGCCGAAGCUAACGCAUUAAGUAUCCCCGCCUGGGAGUACGGCCGCAAGGCUA
rnacentral:rRNA from 1 species